CGGUAAUACGAAGGGCGCAAGCGUUACUCGGAAUUACUGGGCGUAAAGCGUGCGUAGGUGGUUGUUUAAGCCCGUUGUGAAAGCCCUGGGCUCAACCUGGGAACUGCAGUGGAUACUGGGCGACUAGAGUGUGGUAGAGGGUAGCGGAAUUCCUGGUGUAGCAGUGAAAUGCGUAGAGAUCAGGAGGAACAUCCAUGGCGAAGGCAGCUACCUGGACCAACACUGACACUGAGGCACGAAAGCGUGGGGAGCAAACAGGAUUAGAUACCCUGGUAGUCCACGCCCUAAACGAUGCGAACUGGAUGUUGGGUGCAAUUUGGCACGCAGUAUCGAAGCUAACGCGUUAAGUUCGCCGCCUGGGGAGUACGGUCGCAAGACUGAAACUCAAGGGAAUUGACGGGGGCCCGCACAAGCGGUGGAGUAUGUGGUUUAAUUC
rnacentral:rRNA from 1 species